GUGCUCGCUUCAGCAGCACAUAUACUAAAAUUGGAAUGAUACAGAGAAGUUUAUCAUGGACUCUGCAAGAUUGAUACACAAAUAUCUUUAUUAAAAGAUGUUAUU